AGUUAAUGAUCUUCUCAGCGAAGCUCGUUCUGCUCGUUAGUUUGUGCUGAUGAUGCAGUGAUUCAGUCACGUGACGUUACUGAGCAGGAGGAGCUCAUGAGGCUCAUUUCAGGAGCCGGUUCAUCACUUUAAUGACGGAUUUGAGUCUCUGACCUAAACGAGUGUGAACCAUCGAGUCAGAGAGAUCAGAUUCGUAACGUGAAUGUAGCAUUUUAGGAAGCCUGAAAUAAGGAGGGCUCUUGCCAGAGAUUUGAACCCCAACACUCCAGAGUGAGGCGUGGUGGUAUUAUCCAUUACUCUAUCCACCUGCUAUGAUGGACUCUAUCAGAGACAGACUUUACCCACGAACAACCAGACCAGAUUCCUGGAAUUCCUUCUACUGGGUGACUGUCGAGUCCAGGCAGAUGUGUGGACUUCAGCAUCUUACGACAUCUUUUAAUGGAUGUGAAACACCAGCACCGUGUCGACCAUGUUGCUUUGAAAGAUGUUAUUUACACUGACACUGUGAAUAAAUUCUGUUAUGAAUGUGA